UCUGAAGACACUGAAAAGGAGGCAGCUGAAACAUUAGCUAGAGCCUAUAAAGCAGUGUUCAAGUGCUUAUCUGGUUUGGCCAACAUGGUUUAUUUAAAUGCUACUAUUGCUUACAGCACUUCAUGAAAUGAAAACAGGAAGAUACCAUGUCUGGCACCUAAAAUACAACAUGCAGGCAGAGGUCCCAAAGCAGUUUGCAAGAGAGGCGGAAAACCCCACACUUUCCUACUCUGCCAUCUCACGCUGUCAAGAAUGCAAAGUAAUGAAUGUACUUUUCUUCGCAUCUGUACGACUUAUGGUUUCACCCCUUUUGAUCUGCAAGUUUCAUCAGUUCCCCCACUCUUGCAUUCUCAAAUACAAAGUGACUCAAGUCCACAACAACCAUUUUGAUAAGUCUGCAUUUCACCUAUCAGAGAAUGUUUGCCUGUCCAGGAUUGCUGGUGCUUUUACUCCUGAGAGCCUCCUUCACAAACCCCUGCCCCCAUCAGUGCAUGUGCUCCUCUUUGGGUCCUGCAUCACUCAAGGUAGAUUGUGGCUCUAGAGACCUGGACGCCCUUCCUCUUCUACCUAAUGCAACAGAAGAACUUUAUCUGCAGUACAACCAACUGAAAACAAUACCUGCAGGAACAUUUGACAACCUUUGGACCCUAAAAAGGAUCAACCUAUCUAGCAACCCAUGGCACUGUGAUUGUGAGAUUCUCUACUUAAAAGUCUGGUUGGAAGACCAAGCAGACAACAUGGUUAGCAAUAAGGUUAUUUGCUUCACUCCACUUUCACUUAAUAAGAAAACACUCUCUCAGUUGAGACAGAGUGAUUUUACCUCUUGCUCCAGGGCUAGAAGACAUUGUUUUGACUUCUUGUUCACUGAAGCAUUUCUCUUGUUUCUUCUUCUGCUCUUGUUGACUUUACUGAUCUGUGGUGUCUUGGCUGCAAAAACACCUAAGUACAAAAUGAAUGUUUCUAGUGAUAAUGUGGAUCAGCCCCCUGCAUCAGCUUCAAUUUCUAAUGAAGUUAAGAGAAUAAUUCGCAAUUAAGAGAAUAAUGUCCUGGACUUUAAGCAGUACAUCAUGCUAGUGACUUGUGUGAGUUAAAAUAUUAGGUAAGAAAGAUGGUUCAUUAGAAAAGCAUGUGACUGUAAAAACCAGAUGAGAAUGGCGAAUGCAGGGACAAUAUAAAGCAUGACAUACAAGUAUAGGGCCUGGCCUUGAAAGCCACAAACUAAUGAAUUAAAUCCUGACCCCACUUAACUCAGCAGGAAAACUACCAUUGCCUUCGAUGGAGCUGUAAGUCCAUGCCAGUUGCAGUACUUACUUCCAGGGUUGGUCCUACUGAAACUAAUGAUCUACACCAGUGGUUUCCAACCUUUUUGAGUAGAUCACUUUUUGAAUUAAAAAGCAACCCAGGUUCUACCACACACCACCACCUCUCCCCCAGCAGGUCAGUCUGUGGGGAGGCAGAUAGAGGUGGAGGAAGAAAAAAUUAUUUGGGGGCAACCCCCCCA